rnacentral:misc_RNA from 1 species
GAUGAAGAACGCAGCGAAAUGCGAUACGUAAUGUGAAUUGCAGAAUUCAGUGAAUCAUCGAAUCUUUGAACGCAUAUUGCGCUCUCUGGUAUUCCGGAGAGAAUGCUUGUUUGAGUAUCAGUAAACACCUCAACUCCCUUUUCUUUUUUGAAAUUGGAGCUGGACUUGAGUGAUCCCAACGCUUUCUUCCAAGAAAGUGGCGGGUUGCUUGAAAUGCAGGUGCAGCUGAACUUUUCUCUGAGCUAUAAGCAUAUCUAUUUAGUCUGCCUAAAAAACAGAUUAUUACCUUUGCUGCAGCUAACAUAAAGGAGACUAGUUCUUGUGCUGACUGAUGCAGGAUUCACAGAGACAGCUUCGGCUGACUUUGUAAACUCGAUCUCAAAUCAAGUAAGACUACCCGCUGAACUUAAGCAUAUCAAUAAGCGGAGGA